UCCUACUUCCUUCUACAGUACUCUUGACAUUCUUUCAACACCCCCUAGAAACAACAGCAGGUGGCCUGGCAGAGAUUGUGUUGAUGAGAGUCUAUCAAUAAAGAUUUAAAUUAGAGCCAUCAUCUGGAGUUCAUUGUCCCCUUUUUGCGCCAUGAAAGACGAUGAAUGACAUUGCUCUGCAAAACCUUAGGGCCUCCUUUUAAAACCCUGUCCUCCAUAAUGAUGAGACCCAGGAGCCGAUCUAAGGACAGUAUACACCUACACAUACCAUUCUCACACAAACACACACGCACACGCACACACACAGACACACAUACAAAAACAGUUGGGCAGAAACUGAAGUGACCUGUCUUGUUCCCCCCCACACACACACACACACACGCACGUUUUGGCAAGCUGACAAAAAGGAUUUAGUCCAGCCUGUUGUUGUCAUUACAAGUGUAUUAACCUUUUAAAAAAAAAGCUUGUGUGCAUGUGUGCAUGUGCGCUUGUGUGAGAUUGUGUGUAGGUAAGGCCCUCAGGAUGGAAAAAACCCCAAAACACCUUGUCAUUGCUCAGAGUUUCCACUGUCUCCUGCCAUUUCUCUCCUGCUUUCUCCUUCCCGCUGGAAGAAAACACAAAGCAGUGUCUGUAGCUCUCAUUUAGACAUCAGCUCUCUCGCUCCUCGUUUCCUCUUGUGCAGUGGGAAGAUGUUGCUUCGUGAGACUACUGCUUGCUGCACAUUUUCUUUCCCCUUUUCAUUGGGCCGUUGACAUUCAACAUUGCUUGAUUGUCUUUCUGCUAUGUAAACACAACUUGGUUCACAUUGAAACUGUAGUGGCUGUAACACAACUCGGACCACACACGGAGACAAUAUUAACAGUUCCACAGCAGACUAAACAAGCAUCUUCACAAACAAUGUUUUUUUGGUUAUGAGUACACAAAUACGUAUAUGAGUUUGACUAGAUUCCAAGCUAGGAAUUGGAGCGUACUGUUAGAGUUGGAUGAGUCAACAGUAUAAUCUGAUCCUGGAGUUUUAUCUGGCCAAUGUUGCUUGCUUCUUGCCUUUGUGAAAUGAGGGGAAGGGGUCACUUGCGGUUAUUUGGGAGGUUCAUAUUGCAUUUACUUAAUUACUCACAUUUUCAAUAAUGGUAAAAGCAUAUGUUUGACUAAACAAAUAAGAAUCGAUUCAAUUUGAAUAUCAAUUUACUGCAAGUUUGACAAUACAUCUGGAGAUAUUCAAGACUGUUUGAAGCAAGCGGGAGAAUCAUACUCAUCUUACACAUGUCGAUGGUUUCCACAAUACCUAUAAUAUAUAUAUAUAUAUAUAUAUAUAUAUAUAUAUAUAUAUAUAUGGAUGGAUUUGUGGAGAUUUCUUGAGUUUGCUUGAGUUUUGAAAUUGUUUCAUUUGAAAAUCUACAGUUCUCCUGAAGCGUUAUCUUUAGACUGAAGCGAACUGUGUGUGAACCAGCAUACAUAUUUAUCUGGUGGUUGGGUUGGCUGUGACUUGGUAUUUAGUUAUGUGUAGUAGUUUGUGUGCACUCGUGUGUCGGUGUGUGAACUGUCCUGCAAGGAUCUGACUUCUCCCUGUGUAGAUGUGGACUUCAUUGUUUAUCGGCCCGCCCCAUCCUCUCUCUCUCUCUCUCUCUCUCUCUCUCUCUCUCUCUCUCUCUCUCUCUCUCUCUGUCGCUCUGCCUUUUUGUCUCCCCUUUUCAUACCUCUCAGCCCAUCAAAAACAAGACGUUCUCACACCGCAAAAUACAACAUAAAGGAGCCAGAUUCGGUCUCCCACCGCAUAAUUCUUUCUGAAAAAGCUGGCAAAGAACAGAGUGAGGAGAGGGCUGAGAAAAGGCGUCUCCCGGCCAUCUUUUCACAGGGAUGGCCAUGUCUAAUUGUGUCACUGUGAUAAAUGAAUAGUUUUUUUUCCUUGUUUCUUUAUUUUGCAAAGGAACCCCCUCCUCGGCAAAAUAAAGAAACAAGGGGAAAAAAAACGACCAGGAACCCCCUGCUUCCCCCGGACCAGAGGCCCAGCUGAAGUAGGAGGUGGGGGAGCAGUAGGAGGUGGGGGAGCAGUAGGAGGUGGGGGAGGUGGGUGAGGGUGGGAGCUGGGGGAGGAGUAGGUCUAUUGAUUUUCUUCUGUAAUUUAAAGGGUAAAAAAAUAAUCAUUUUCAUUUUUUUCACAAAUAAUAGUUGGCAAUAAUAGUUAAUAGUUAAGGGAGGACAUCUAUUUCAGGUAAUUUAUGACAAAUCCUAAGGUUCAUGGUUUUGCAAUACAUCCCCGAAACAUUGUGUGUGUGUGUGUGUGUGUGUGUGUGUGUGUGUGUGUGUGUGUGUGUGUGUGUGUGUGUGUGUGUGUGUGUGUGUGUGUGUGUUGUGAACAGAGAAUCCACUGUCUGUUGGUAGCCAUGCGUUACUGUGCCUUCCGCACCCCCUCCACACACACAUAACACACACACCCCUUUUCUGCUUCUCUCUUUCAAUUUCAAAUUGUUUGCCACCCAACCUCUAUUCCCUUUUUUUCUGGACUUUUCUUCAUUCCAUAUCUCUCAACAUCUCUUGGCCCUUCUCUUUAUUUUACCUAAUUUGAAGUUAACCUAUUCCUUUCUCCCUCCUCUCUUCCUUCCUUGACCCCCUCUCGCUAUUGUUACCCUCUCUCCUUCCUCCCUCCCUCCCCCUCUUUCUUUCUUUCUUUCUUUCUCACUAUGGCCUCCAGGUUAUCUUAGCAUAUGUCUGUUUGUGUGUUCGUAUUGUCGGUGCGCCAUGGUUUGUUAAGUGCUCAUGCCUCGCCAAACCUUUGUUGCAACAUGCAGCAUGUUACGGUGGAAAGCAUUGCUUUGAGCUGGCUGAAGAGAAAGCAUCAUGCAUGGAUCUUCUCAUCAGCAGAAUUUUGGAACAUUAUGUGUAAUGAAAGUGCAAUAUCAACUGCUCCACUACUAAAUCCUGACCCCAGAAUUAUUACUGGGAUGCGAUAUGUUUUCUUCAUCCAGAUAAGAAGUCAGGAUGUCAUAGCGAAACACUAUAUGCACGUAUGCUUCAGCUACAGUAUUUAAUGUUUUAUAGUGUUCCGCUAUAUAAAAAUAAAAGGCUGCGUUACAGUGUCUUUAGUCUCACAGUCCAACCAUGUACAGACUGCAGGGUUGAGGGGAGAAAUGGGCACAGGCCUUAAUUGUAGCCCUCUCAAUAGCAACUCGCUCUCACAGUCACACACACCCACACACACACACACCCACACACACACACACACACACACACACACACACACACACACACACACACACACACACACACACACACACACACACACACACACACACACACACACACACACACACAUA